UUGAGAGUUUGUAUCUGGCUCAGGACGAACGCGGGCGGCGUGCCUAAUACAUGCAAGUCGAGCGGACAGAUGGGAGCUUGCUCCCUGAUGUUAGCGGCGGACGGGUGAGUAACACGUGGGUAACCUGCCUGUAAGACUGGGAUAACUCCGGGAAACCGGGGCUAAUACCGGAUGGUUGUUUGAACCGCAUGGUUCAAACAUAAAAGGUGGCUUCGGCUACCACUUACAGAUGGACCCGCGGCGCAUUAGCUAGUUGGUGAGGUAACGGCUCACCAAGGCGACGAUGCGUAGCCGACCUGAGAGGGUGAUCGGCCACACUGACUAGACCGCCCU
rnacentral:rRNA from 1 species